rnacentral:rRNA from 1 species
GGUGAGUAACGCGUAGAUAAUCUACCUUAAAGACCGGGACAACAGUUGGAAACGACUGCUAAUACCGGAUAAGCUAGACUUAAGGCAUCUUAGGUUUAGGAAAGGAGGCCUCUUGAAAAAGCUCCCGCUUUUAGAUGAGUCUGCGUCUGAUUAGCUAGUUGGUGGGGUAAAGGCUUACCAAGGCGACGAUCAGUAGUCGGCCUGAGAGGGUGACCGGCCACAUUGGGACUGAGACACGGCCCAAACUCCUACGGGAGGCAGCAGUGGGGAAUCUUCCGCAAUGGGCGCAAGCCUGACGGAGCAACGCCGCGUGAUCGAAUGAAGGCCUUCGGGUUGUAAAGAUCUGUUGACAGGGACGAAUAAGCCGUGCGAAUAGUGCGGUGUAUGACGGUACCUGUUUAGAAAGCUCCGGCUAACUACGUGCCAGCAGCCGCGGUAAUACGUAGGGAGCAAGCGUUGUCCGGAAUUACUGGGCGUAAAGGGCGCGUAGGUGGGUGCUUAAGUCAGGUGUGAAAGUUCUGGGCUCAACCUGGAGACUGCACUUGAAACUGGGUAUCUUGAGGGCAGGAGAGGAAAGUGGAAUUCCUAGUGUAGCGGUGAAAUGCGUAGAUAUUAGGAGGAACACCAGUGGCGAAGGCGACUUUCUGGACUGUACCUGACGCUGAGGCGCGAAAGCGUGGGUAGCGAACGGGAUUAGAUACCCCGGUAGUCCACGCCGUAAACGAUGAAUACUAGGUGUAGGAGGUAUCGACUCCUUCUGUGCCGCAGCAAACGCAAUAAGUAUUCCGCCUGGGGACUACGGUCGCAAGACUAAAACUCAAAGGAAUUGACGGGGACCCGCACAAGCGGUGGAGCAUGUGGUUUAAUUCGACGCAACGCGAAGAACCUUACCAGGGCUUGACAUCCCUCGCAAUCUGCGGAAACGUAGAGUUUUCUAGUUUACUAGAGACGAGGAGACAGGUGGUGCAUGGUUGUCGUCAGCUCGUGUCGUGAGAUGUUGGGUUAAGUCCCGCACGAGCGCACCCCUACGUCCAGUUGCCAGCACGU